rnacentral:lncRNA from 1 species
UUUAGUGUUAGAUUUAUCUAUAGUUUUUGGAAGUUAUAUCUGAAACUUUAUUCUUCUACAUGCAGGUCCCUCUAAAAGCUCAUUUUGACUUAAAAAUAAAAUAAAAUCUGCAUUAUAAACUUUAUUCUUUGUAUGUGUUUUCUUUUACAUCAUGAAGGUUUAUGGGCCAGACAUUGUUUUGGUCUUAUUAAGGAGCCGUCUUCAACACAUUCAUUAGCUUUGGUUUUUGAUAACGAACUUGACUGGGGAAUCCAUCGCGCAGAGUUGUGUCCAUAGGAAUAUGGUGGUACAUAUACUUUCAUUAGCUAGAUCUCAUAUGCUCCACUAAAUUCAAAUUCUCCAUCUUAUCCUUUACGAUUUCUCAUUUAUAACAUAAGAUAUAUGUUUAAGUUUUAAAUUUAGAUACAUAAGUUUAAUAGCUAUGUGAUGUUGUCGUUGUCAAAUUGUAAAAAUUAGUUUAAGAUGUGGAUUCUCAAUAGAAGUCUUCAAGCAAUUACUUUAAAGGAAGAAUUUUGUCUUUUAGUUUUGGAUUUCUAUUUAACUACCCCUAAAUUAUUUUAUUUCUUAAUCCCUUUAUAUUAAACAAAAGCCUCAUUAUGUUACAUUAACACCUAACCUCUAGAUGGUGUGACAUAACAUAUCAUAACUAUCCCUAAAUAAGAUUGUC